GUGCUCACUUUGGCAGCACAUGUACUAAAAUUGGAAUGAUACAGAGAUUAGGAUGGCUCCUCAACAAAGAUUGCAUGCAAAUUUAUAAAGCAUUAUGUAUUUGC
ensembl:snRNA U6 U6 spliceosomal RNA